AACAGUAUCAACUUUUGUAUGCUUAUGGGCGUUAGAUACCACUGAAAGUUAUAUCUACGAAGUGAAGCUCAGUCAAUAAAUAGGUCAUCAAAGGGUAUAUAGAUACCCAUCCAAGAGGAAAGACCAGUAUUCCAGGAAUUGAUGAUAUCGAUUGUGAUCGAUUUUAAGCAAAGUUGUUCAUAUAAACAUGAGUUCCAAACGGUUUCCAAAAUAUUAUAAUUUGACACUGCGCCAUUGUGUGAAGCACGUGAGUGAAGAGUUUACUAUGUUACUGUAGAUAGUGACAUUGAAUAUUGAAAUAUUAUUAAAAUUGCAGCAGUUCUUUCCAAGUGUAUGCAGAUAUCUUGUCUGUGUACGGCUUCUGUUCACACCGUGUUCUCACAAGAGUUAAAAAAUGCAUUGAUGUUGAAAAUGGAAGUUUAUGAAAGUUAUUAUAAACUGUAAGAAAUUUAUCAUUUGAACAAUAAAUAUAAGAAAUAGUA